rnacentral:sRNA from 1 species
ACAUCUGCAAAAUCAGCUGCCGGGAUUGUCACGCCGAAAUAUAACCCUACUGGCGACGCGUGUCGUGCUU